GGGCUUUGAUUUAACCCCAUCAUCUGACACUGGUGAAGAUGUGUCACAAGACGUCAGUGUUACAUCAGAUCCCACUGCCCCCAGCACAGUUGGUGAAGUUGCGUCACAAGAGGAAGAACAUCAGUCUGUGGCCGACAUGAGCAGUACCUUCAGUGAGAUGGGUUUGCAAGACCCAUUGGACACCAGCUAUGCUCCAUCCAGUAACACCCAACCAUCCAGCCAGGAGUCUUCUUCAGGAUCAAGUUCAACCAAUAGAAAUAACACGGGAUGGUCAGGGAAAAAGUGGGUUGUGAAUGAGAGCCAACUCCUUCAACUUUUCAAAUUUUGCAGCACAUGUGGCUCAGAAAU